rnacentral:rRNA from 1 species
AUUGAACGCUGGCGGCAUGCCUUACACAUGCAAGUCAAACGGUAACAGGUCUUCGGAUGCUGACGAGUGGCGAACGGGUGAGUAAUACAUCGGAACGUGCCCGAGAGUGGGGGAUAACGAGGCGAAAGCUUUGCUAAUACCGCAUACGAUCUCAGGAUGAAAGCAGGGGACCGCAAGGCCUUGCGCUCACGGAGCGGCCGAUGGCAGAUUAGGUAGGUGGUGGGAUAAAAGCUUACCAAGCCGGCGAGCUGUAGCGGGUCUGAGAGGACGACCAGCCACACUGGGACUGAGACACGGCCCAGACUCCUACGGUAGGAAGCAGUGGGGAAUUUUGGACAAUGGACGCAAGCCUGAUCCAGCCAUGCCGCGUGCAGGAUGAAGGCCUUCGGGUUGUAAACUGCUUUUGUACGGAACGAAAAGACUCUGGUUAAUACCUGGGGUCCAUGACGGUACCGUAAGAAUAAGCACCGGCUAACUACGUGCCAGCCGCCGCCGUAAGAC